UACGUAGGUGGCAAGCGAUACUCGGAAUCACUAGGCGUAAAGCGCAGGUAGGCGGUUUGGUAAGUCUUUUGUGAAAGCUCCCGGCUUAACUGGGAGAGGUCAAGGGAAACGACCGGACUAGAGUGUGGUAGGGGAUACUGGAAUUCCUGGUGUAGCGGUGAAAUGCGUAGAUAUCAGGAGGAAUACCUAUGGCGAAAGCAGGUAUCUGGGCCAUCACUGACGCUGAGCUGCGAAAGCUAGGGGAGCAAACAGG
rnacentral:rRNA from 1 species